rnacentral:rRNA from 1 species
UACGUAGGGGGGCAAGCGUUGUCCGGAAUCAUUGGGCGUAAAGCGCGUGUAGGCGGCCAGAAAAAGUCCGCUGUGAAAAACUCGAGGCUCAACUUCGAGCUGUCGGUGGAAACUUUUCUGGCUAGAGUCCGGAAGAGGAGAAUGGAAUUCCUGGUGUAGCGGUGAAAAUGCGCAGAUAUCAGGAAGAACACCCCGUGGCGAAGGCGGUUCUCUGGGGACGGUACUGACGCUGAGACGCGAAAAGCGUGGGGGAGCGAACAGG